rnacentral:rRNA from 1 species
AGAGUUUGAUCAUGGCUCAGAACGAACGCUGGCGGCAUGCCUAACACAUGCAAGUCGAACGUGAUCCAGGCUUCGGUCUGGUGAAAGUGGCAAACGGGUGAGUAACGCGUGGGAACCUGCCCAGAGGUAGGGAAUAACUGCGGGAAACUGCGGCUAAUACCCUAUGUGUCCUGAGGGACAAAGAUUUAUCGCCUUUGGAGGGGCCCGCGUCGGAUUAGGUAGUUGGUGGGGUAACGGCCUACCAAGCCAUCGAUCCGUAGCUGGUCUGAGAGGAUGAUCAGCCACACUGGGACUGAGAUACGGCCCAGACUCCUACGGGAGGCAGCAGUGGGGAAUAUUGGACAAUGGGGGCAACCCUGAUCCAGCAAUGCCGCGUGAGUGAUGAAGGCCUUCGGGUUGUAAAGCUCUUUCGGCGGGGAAGAUGAUGACGGUACCCGCAGAAGAAGCCCCGGCUAACUUCGUGCCAGCAGCCGCGGUAAUACGAAGGGGGCUAGCGUUGUUCGGAAUUACUGGGCAAAGGGCGCGUAGGCGGUGCUGUAAGUCAGGCGUGAAAUCCCCGGGCUCAACCUGGGAAUUGCGCAUGAUACUGCGGCGCUGGAAUGCGGGAGAGGAUGGCGGAAUUCCCAGUGUAGAGGUGAAAUUCGUAGAUAUUGGGAAGAACACCGGUGGCGAAGGCGGCCAUCUGGCCCGUGAUUGACGCUGAGGCGCGAAAGCGUGGGGAGCAAACAGGAUUAGAUACCCUAGUAGUCC